rnacentral:tRNA from 1 species
GGCCAGUUAGCUCAGCUGGUUAAGCGUGGGGCUGAUAACACCAAGGUCGUGGGUUCAAUUCCUGUUCGGUCCC